UUUCUGCAUCUUCUCUUUAAACUUGGCUGUUGGCAGUGAAUCUGGUUUGGUCAGAUAUCUUUCACUAUUGACUACUAAAUUUCACUUCUAAGUUUUACUAUGCUGAUUGUCUUUCUACCAACAUGUAUAGGUCCGUAUUUAUAACCUCAAAGGGUGUUCAGAUGGGGUAAAAUUCCUCUUUGUAACUGAAACCAAAUGUGAAGUUUGUGAAGCAUGGAGGUAAACUUGCAGUGGGAUUUGAAUGCGGUCAUGUUGCAAUGCUGGACACAAGUUCCUUAUCUAUAUUGUUCUUCAUAAAAGGUGCAUCUUUCUCUAGCUCCCCAGUCAUUUCAAUGACUUGGACAGAAAUUACAAAUCCUCAAGGCCGCUUGAAGAGUUCAAAGCUCUUGGAAACUAAAUCACCAGUUCACCCUGCAGAGGAAGUAAUGUUCAUUUAACCAAAGAUGCAAAUAUACAUUUAAUUUGUGGAACAUGGGAUCAUUGGGUGUUAGUGCUACAAGACAGUACCAUUUUAACUCCCUAGCUGUUCCGCGCAAAGCAAAAGAAGCAAUUGGAGGAAUUACCCGUCUUACUCAUGCUGAUGUUUAGCGACUGUUGUUUCAGGAGUUCUUCAAUCACAAGUUUCUCAGAGAAUUGAGGGUGAUGGUGGAAGUUGAACACACUUCACCACUUAAAUCAACGGGUGAAUAGCCUAGUUCUUCUAGCUCCGAUAAGAUGUUGCAUUUGCAUGCAGAUUUGAAGGGUUUAAUCCAACAAGGGAGUAUGGUGGGAUUUGCAUAUCCUCUUGGUUUCAUGUCCACCAGUGACUGUCAGCCCAAAUAAAUAUUUUGUUAUGCUAUUCAGGUGUGCAAACAAUGUCAGAGGUAAUGAGAGGGAAGGAUAUUUUAUCACUGUUGAUAUUGAGAAAGGGAUGCAAGAUGGACAAUUUAUGUAGUAUUCCUUCUCUAAUACAUGAGCUCUCCUAUCGAUUUACGAACCAAAGCAGACUUCACAUGGGCUACCAAGAUUGCACAGCAAUGGAAACAAUACAUAAUCCCACCCCACGAUUCAAGGAUAAGCUUCAUAAGUUCAAGAUAUGACUUCAUAAGGCGUAGUGCCAAUUUGGUAGUAGUUUUCAUAUAGAAAGAUGACAUCUAGGUUGGAUUGAGUAUAUACUUUUAUUUGAAAAUUUUAUAUAUGUAUAUGGGGUAUACUUUGUUCACUGAUGGAAGUAAUAUAUAUGACAAUGACAGUUUGUGUAUU
rnacentral:lncRNA from 1 species